rnacentral:rRNA from 1 species
GAUGAACGCUAGCGGGAGGCUUAAUACAUGCAAGUCGAGGGGUAACAGGGGCUUCGGCCCGCUGACGACCGGCGCACGGGUGAGUAACGCGUACGCAACUUACCUCCAAGCGAGGGAUAGCCCUGGGAAACUGGGAUUAAUACCUCAUGUGAUUAUGAUGCCGCAUGGUGUUAUAAUUAAAGUUCAGGCGCUUGGAGAUGGGCGUGCGUCCUAUUAGCUAGUUGGUGAGGUGACGGCUCACCAAGGCGACGAUAGGUAGGGGGCGUGAGAGCGUGGCCCCCCACACGGGUACUGAGACACGGACCCGACUCCUACGGGAGGCAGCAGUAAGGAAUAUUGGACAAUGGGCGCAAGCCUGAUCCAGCCAUCCCGCGUGCAGGAUGACAGCCCUACGGGUUGUAAACUGCUUUUGUUAGGGAAGAAAAGUCGGCAUUUAUGCUGAUCUGACGGUACCAGAGGAAUAAGCACCGGCUAACUCCGUGCCAGCAGCCGU